rnacentral:rRNA from 1 species
GACGAACGCUGGCGGCGUGGAUUAGGCAUGCAAGUCGAGCGAUAUCUACCUUCGGGUAGUGAAAGCGGCGAACGGGUGAGUAACACGUGAACAACCUGCCCUCACAUUCCGGAUAAUAGACCGAAAGGUCUUGUAAUACGGGCGAGGAUUUUCUUUAGGCAUCUUUAGAAAAGGGAAGGCGCAAGCCGUGCGAGGAGGGGUUCGCGGAUUAUCAGAUAGUUGGUGGGGUAACGGCCUACCAAGUCACGACGAUUAGCUGGUCUGAGAGGAUGGUCAGCCACACUGGGACUGAGACACUGCCCAGACUCCUACGGGAGGCUGCAGUCGAGAAUCUUGCACAAUGUACGAAAGUAUGAUGCAGCGACGCCGCGUGAAGGAUGAAGGCCCUUGGGUCGUAAAC